GGGUUCCAGAGUCAUGCUAUAUCAUCACAAACCACAAAGGCCCGUGAGAGGAAGUACAGGGUGCCAGGAAACUCACAGCAGGCCCGGAAUGGGGAGGCGAUGACUUGUGAUGAGAAAGGGCUGAUGGGAUUAGAAUCCAGUCUGUGUCCAUAAGACACAGUCAAGUCCACUGUUACACAGGAGUCAAACCGGUGACCUUGUGGAGGGGAACAACACCGAUUACUCGGUCCUGGCCCGGGGGACCAUGGCUUCCUAUGGAGCAGCCGCUCCUGCCUUCCCUUGGUACAGCAGAGAUGUGAAAAUCUAGCUCCAAGUCAGAUGUGUUUAGGAAACUUUGGGCUAACAAAGGGAAACAUUUGUUUCCUCGAGGCUGUGAGAGCUGUCAUUAAUGUGCUGAGCUGCACUGUGUCCUGAGCAGGAGCCUGCGGGGACUUGGCACAGAGCCUUGGUGCGUCCCACUGCACCUCCAGACCAGACCUCAGAGUCGGGGCCACUGCACCUCCAGACCAGACCUCAGAGUCGGGGCCACUGCACCUCCAGACCAGAUCGCAGAGUCGGGGC
rnacentral:lncRNA from 10 species